rnacentral:rRNA from 1 species
UACGGGGGGGGCAAGCGUUGUUCGGAAUUACUGGGCGUAAAGGGCUCGUAGGCGGCCAACUAAGUCAGACGUGAAAUCCCUCGGCUUAACCGGGGAACUGCGUCUGAUACUGGAUGGCUUGAGUGUGGGAGAGGGAUGCGGAAUUCCAGGUGUAGCGGUGAAACGCGUAGAUAUCUGGAGGAACACCGGUGGCGAAGGCGGCAUCCUGGACCAUUACUGACGCUGAGUGAGCGAAAGCCAGGGGAGCAAACGGG